GUGGCCAAAAAAACCUCUCAGCUCACUGCUGCCGCCGCCGCAGGCAGACACAGCACUUCCUAGAAAAUCGCCAUUCCGUUUACUGUUUAUUCUUUGGAGGGUCACUUGUUUCCCAUCAGCUCUUGCAGCGGCGAAGGUGGAUUUCUCAGCACAUCUCAUGAGACGUCUCCAUGAAUGGGAAAAGAGAUGCAGACACAGCCGGCCCUCCGUAUCCCUGGGGUCCACGCUGAGGAUCCGAAAAAAUAUUCAGAAAAAGAAAUGAUUCAGAAUGUGAUAAAGUGCUUGCAAAGACUGAGGAAGCAUUCAUUAAUUCGACUCCAUGGGACCGCAGUGGUGGGAAUGGACAUGGUUAACUGGAGAGUCUCUACAUAGUUGUUAGUUACGGUCCAGUCUGCUCUAACUCACGGUGACCUUGUGCAUAACGGAACGAAACGGCGCCAUCUCUACAGUCAUUGGUACGUUGGAGUCCAUUGUGGUGGCUGUUGUGUAAUCCACCACUUUGAGGGUCUCCCUUGUUUUUGCUGACCCUCUACUUUACCAAACAGGAGGUCCUUUUCUAGUGAUUGGUCUUUCCUGAUGACACGUCCAGCG